ensembl:lncRNA LINC01823 long intergenic non-protein coding RNA 1823
ACUGCAGCCUUGAACUCCUGGGCUCAAGUGAUCCUCCCUCCUCAGUCUCCUGAGUAGCUGGGAGUACAGGAUAGAAAAAUAAUACAUGCCAAAAGAAAUUUGAGGAACAAAUUCAGCCCUGAGACAGGUCACGGAAACAGCCCUCCAGUCUUCCUCAAGAAAUGUAGACUGAAUCAGCAUUUACCCACCCCUGGAAAAACGCAGGAGCUGCGCAUUCCUGGGAUCUCAGCAGGGCUUUUGGGAAGAGCAGAACUGGGCUGGAGUCACGGUUUCUGGGCUGACUCUAGAUUUUCCCCGGCUUUUGCCACCUGUGAUGGCUGGAGAGUAUCUGAAGAUGACAGCCAGUGUCCUUAGCUUGUGAAGAUUGGAUGAUGGCCGGGGCCCUCAGACCCCUUGGCCCCUCCUUAACUGCAGGUCUUCAAAAGCCCAACACCUGUUCGUCAUUUCUGUGGCUUCCCAGGGAGUCUUACUCUUCUGCUUCAAGCUGCUGGGUUUGACUCUGAGCAGUUUCUGUGCAGCCACAAAGAUUCUUAUGUGAGACACACUGCUGCUUCAGAGUGCUCCAACCCAUCUCCCCUGAUUAAACACUAACCAGGGCUGCCACAGCAAAGUGGCUCAAAUGGGUGACGUCAACAACAGAUUUACUUUCUCAUAGUUCUGGAGGCAGGUGUCUAGGAUCAAGGUGGUGGCAAGGCUAUUCCUUCUGUUGCCUCCCUCCUUGCCUUGUGGAUGACCGUCUUCUCCGCGUCUUUCCAAGAUCUCUCCUCUGUGCAUGUCAGUGUCCUUGCUUCCUCUUCUUAUGAAGACACCGGUCAUGUUGGAAUGCAACAGAAGAGAGUGCACGGCUUCUGAGGUUGCAGCUUUUGGGAGAAGCCAUCUACCAUUGAUGACAGACAUGCCGUGUGGAAACCAAACCAGCCAUGUGGAGAGGCUACCUGGACAGAGGCACAGGGCCAGCAGCAGCUGUGGAGACAGACAUGUGAGCAAAGAAAUCAUCUUUGAUGUACAGCCAAGUUGAGCCUUCAGAUGACUCCGAUUUCAGCCACCUUUGGACUGCAACCACAUGAAAGACUCUAAAUAGAAGCCUCCCAGCUGAUCCCGGUUAACCCACAGUGCUGAAGGGGAUAAUAAUAAAUUGUUGUUUUAAGCCA